UGGAGGAACAACCGCAGUGGCGGGGCCAGCUCUGCAGCCCUGGAGUCAGCUCCCGCAGUAACUCGGAGCUCUCCGUCUGCAGGGCCUGGAGGCUCCGGGGCGUG
rnacentral:pre_miRNA from 1 species